AAUGUUUCCGUUAAUUUACACCCAAAUUUCAACAUGAUUUACCUGUUAUUUGUAAUAACUGCAGCUUACUGUAAAUUUUUAGGGAAUACAUGUUAAAUAACGCCUCAUGUAUGUUAUUUAACACCUCAUUGCUAAAUAACAUUCAUUUUUGUUAUUUAACAGCACAACCGAACAUUCAAAGAUGGCGGCCAGAGUUAGAUGGUCUGGUAUGGUUUUGUAAGUUGCAAAACAAUGACUAAUUCAAUAUUGUCGAUGUUGCAUACUAAGAAAUUAAAUAUUGUAUGCAUUCACUGAAUGAAGGUUAGACAGAACACCACGUGAUUUCUGUACUGCAAAUGUUAUAAAGAAUCAUCUUGCUUUUAUUACCAUAAUCAUACCUCCCGAUUUUAAACGAGACACCUAACAUUUAAUUGACUAACUGCGCUCCAAAUCUGUGUGUGUAGAUGUGUGUGUGUGUGUGUCUUUCUGAUCACGUUCGCGCCACUUUCUGAAAUAACAGGUUCAUACAGUAUUUUUUGCAUUCUGGCAAAGAGCGAGUAAGAAGGCAUUUGAACCUGCAACGCAACGGACACACGGCCAUUCCAUGUCGGAGAAUCGCUCUGGUUACAUCGAGGAAAACCACAACAAUCCGAUGCAGAUGCAGGGCACUAUCCCUGAUCACACUGCUGAUCAAGAAGAUCUCACUGCAUGUAUCCCUCAGAACCAGAUGUCUCAGGACUUGAUAUGCCAGUGCAGCUGACCUUGAGAGUUCACUAGCUUUACCUGCAACGCCUCGUCUGAUACUUCUUGGAGAAACAGGAAACCACUUCCAACGCUGGAUGCUCAGCAUUGAGGGCCAGAUUGUGGGCGAAGGGAUCCAGUCGACCUUUGUGACAGGGCUGGCGUCUUUUUUCUCCGGUUUUUAUAUCUUCAACCUACAGUACCAAGAGGAGGCAGCGUGCACACUUGAAUUCAUCCAGAGACGCUUUGUGGGUAUAAACCCAGAAAAGGGGACAAAGGCUGCAAAGGGGAAAAAAAGAACGGUAAAUUCACACAUCGCCAGCCUCUUGCGCAGACUGAUGGACUUCCAGUGGGAUUUCAUUUCAAAAAGGUGAGAUAGAUACAUACAUUCAUGCUCUUUGCCAUUUGCCAAUAAAUUUUACUUUUCAGACUUUCUAUUAUUUAUGUCUCUCUCUCUCUCUCUCUCUCUUUCAGUGGAGGUGUGUUCAGGUGCGUUCUGGGCAAUGUAGUGUAUUUUUCUGUGAUUGAUCCGAUCUAUAUGUGCCUACAUUUGUAAGUAUUUAACUUUCAGUGUUUCUAUUACAAUAAAAAAGUUCAUUUGAACAUGGAACUAUUCGUUUUCUUUCACUUAAGUGUUAUGUGAUGUAUUAUACCUAUUCUUAUAAUAACUCAAGCUAGAAAUAUGUAUAUUACAAUCAAUGGUACACAUUACUAUGCUAAAAUAAUAAUCAAUACAUUUUAAAAGCAAUAUUUAAAGGAAACUAAAUAAAUGGUGAUUUAACAUGAAAAUAAUGGUAACCCUGCUGCCAGUAAAGUCCUGUUAAAAAACAUUACGGGUGUGCACUGUAAAAAAACAUUAACAGGAAUAAACCGUUAAAAUAACAUGAAAAUAAUGGUAACCCUGCUGCCAGUAAAUUCCUGUUAAAAAACAUUACGGGUGUGCACUGUAAAAAAACAUUAACAGGAAUAAACUGUUAAAAUAACAUGAAAAUAAUGGUAACCCUGCUGCCAGUAAAUUCCUGUUA